rnacentral:tRNA from 1 species
GCACGGUUGCCCGAGAGGUCUAAGGGGGCAGACUUAAGAUCUGCUAUCUUCGGAUGCGUGGGUUCGAACCCCACACCGUGCA